UAUAUCUGUAGUGCUGUGAAAUUACUACGUGUAAAAUAUACUUAUAUUUAUUUAUAAUAGGUAGGAAUUACUCACAGAUGUAUCAUAUAUAUAAAAAUAUUUACAUAUAUCUAUAGUGUUGUGAAAUUACUACGUGUAAAAUCAAUUAAAUCGACAUACAUCGAUGAUCGAUACUGUAUUUAGACUAGGGGUUCUCAAACUCCGUCGCAAUAAUUUUAAGUGGAGAUAGAUUUGGCGGAAACGAAAAUCAAAUUGUUUGACGGAAACGAUGACCACCCAUCAAAUCAUUUUCAAUCCAAUCACCUCUUUUCUUCUUCCUCUCUCCCUCUUUCAUCCUUCGUUUAUUUUUAUUACAAAUCGCACUAUUUCUAAUAUCUCUCUCCUAGUGAUAAUAUGUUCAAACCAUCUAAAUUGUCUCUAAUUUUGUUUACUAUUGAAGCCAGUGAUGGAUUCAAGGGGGGAAGGCGAGAGGCCC